AUCACUGUAUUGAGCUGCUGAAGAGGGAAUCUCUCUGAGUUUGCUCUGAUCUCAGAUCAGUUUAUCACAAUGAGGUUUCUAAUCUCACUGUGUGUGUCACUGCUACUGCUGGUUAAUGAAUCCACAAGCCAGUCCAUCCCAUCAGCGUCUACAACAACAGAGACAAUCUCACCUGUAGAAUCCAUUACUUCACCAGUCGCAACCACUGGUAAAGUAUUGUCUUGCUUCCUUUAUAAACUCUCAUGAACAGCUUAGACUUUUUUUUUUUUUUUGACCCAUUACACAAGGGUGUAGAAAAUGUCAUAGCAAAACUAGUUUCUCCAGAAAAGAAGUCACAGAAGUAAAAAGGCUCACAGAAUGAUUAUUUCCUUGAUAGUGGGAAUUGCCAUUUUCAAUUAUUUUUAUUUUUUAUUUUUUUAAAUAGCAAUUUCCUAAUUUUCUCAACAGCCUUUUCUCACACAUCACUGCUUUCCCAUAGUGAUGGAUGAGGAAUUUGGCUUACGUGUCACAUCAUAAUUAUAAGUCAUGACUUAACUUAAGUGUUCCUAAUCACUCAGGUCAACUCAUAAACUUACAAUAUGAUUGGUGAGAUUUUACUCUUAAGACCUUCUAUAGGGGUGACAGUAAUUGUGGCACAUGUUUUUGAGAAAUAUUUAUCUUAUUUCAUUUUCCUGUUUUCUGCUUCUGCAUAUUAUAGAGCCAAAUGACUAUAUGCACGGAGCGUUCUUUAUAGCUUCUGCCAUAAUAUAAGCCAGCUGGAAAACUUGAAAACUGGAAGACUGAAAUGUCACUUGCUGGUGUGUUGAGCAUCAAUAGUGUAAUACUUAGUUUAUAAUCAAAAUAUAUUCACUUAAAUACUCAGGCAUAGCAUUAAUUUAGUUAUUCAAACGUAAGACGACAUAGAAAAAUAAAUAAAUAAAGACGUACCUCAGUGUUCCUCCUCGGCUAAAUUCAAUUCGACCAUCAGUUUUCACACCUUUGUGUGGGAAAAAAAAAAAAAAAAAAAAGUCAAAAAUGAAAUAUUUAUUGUGCACUUUAGUUAGAUUCAUUGAAUGUAAUGUGAGUUUUCACAAGUGUGCCGGUCCCUGCGUUCCAUUUGGAAGGGCUCAUCCCUAUGCCCUAAUCCCUUCAAAGGGUUUACCCUCCGGAGUGAGAGCUUCAAAAGGAUAAAUUCUGUGACGUCAAACAACU